CGGCACAAAAGUGAGCUAGUGUAUGGUCGCCGGAACGAAUCCGAUCCCGGUCCGAUCCGUACGAUAAAGCCUGUGAUCAAAGCAGGAAAAGAUCGUCAGUCCAACCUUUUUUAGCCCAGACAGACAUCUAAACCACCCGACGACGACUCGCUCAAACCCAAACCCAAGGCCAGCUCAGCAAAUCAGCGACUCGGCUCCCUCCCCCUUCCUCCUCUCCCCUCCCCCCUUCCGCCUCCGCGACUCCCCGCCCCCUUUCACACCGCCCUCAUCGCCCUCCUCCGAUCCAAGAGCGCAGGCGAGCGGCGCGGCGCGGCGCGGGGACGGGAUGGCGGCGGCGCCGCCCGACGGGCAGGAGAAGGUGAUCGCGGCGGCGCAGCAGAUCGUCAAGUCGCUCGCCAACUCUAAGAACGCCGCGGACGACAUGAUCCGCAUCCUCUCCGGCUUCGACAACCGCUUCUCCCUCAUGUCCGACCUCUUCCCGGACGCCGGCGCCCCCGACGCCGCGGCCGGCUCCGAGCUGCCGGAGGGGGAAGAGGAGGAGGAGGGGGAGUACGGGCGGGAGCGGGGGCCGCCCGGCCCCGGCUUCGGCGGCGACGACGACGACCUGGAGGACGAGAGAGACGCGGCGGUGGAGGAAGCGCUGCGGCUGGUGGAGCAGUGGGACUCCCCCGCGGCCGGGGACCGGCUGGUGUUCGAGUCGCCCGAGGACGCCGAGGAGUACCUCGCCGCGGCCGCCUGCCUCAUGGGCGAGGCCGGCCCGCGCGUCGAGGCCGCGCUGCAGGUCGCCAUGGCGCGCCUCGAGGAGGAGUUCCGCCAGCUGCUCAUCCGCGGGACCGCGUCGCUCGCCGCCGAGGACCUGCACGCGUCCCUCCUCCGCCGCCUCUCGCUCACGGUGCCCACCUUCCACUCCGCCUCCUCCGUCGACCUCGACUGCCCCUCCUUCGCCAGCCACGCCGACGAGGGCGACGAGUCCUCCGGCGCGGGCAGGUGGAGCUCCGCCUCCGAUGGCGAGAUCUCGCCCUACCUCAUUUCCCCCGACACCGUCAGCACCCUCAAGGACAUCGCGGACGUCAUGCUGCGCGCUGGCUAUGGGCCGGAGCUCUGCCAGGUCUACAGCGAGGUGCGCCGGGACACGCUCAUGGAGUGCCUCGCCGUGCUUGGGGUCGACAAGAUGAGCCUGGAAGAGGUGCAGCGCGUGGAGUGGGGCGUCCUCGAUGGCAAGAUGAAGAAGUGGAUCCAGGCUCUCAGGGUCGUCGUCCAGGGCCUUCUCGCCGAGGAGCGCCGCAUCUGUGGCCAGAUCCUUGCGGCCGACGCAGAUGCCGAGGAGGAGUGCUUUACUGAGGCGGCCAAGGGGUGUGUCCUGCAGCUGCUCAACUUCGGUGAUGCCAUUGCGAUUGGCAAGAGAUCGUCCGAGAAGCUGUUCCGCAUUCUUGGUAUGUACGAGGCGCUAGCUGAGUUGCUGCCAGAGCUCGAGGCCUUGUUCUCAGGGGAUGCAAGGGAUUUCAUCAAGGAAGAGGCAGAGGGGAUACUUGUCAGGCUAGGGGAUGCGGUGCGUGGCACGGUCGCUGAGUUUGCCAAUGCGAUACGUGGGGAGACUUCUCGCAGAUCACUGCCAGGGGGCGAGAUCCACCCGCUUACGCGUUAUGUCAUGAAUUAUGUGCGACUGCUUGCAGAUUACAGCCGCUGGCUGAAUCAUCUUCUUGAUGGUUGCGAGACUGAGCUGGAAAAUGGGGGUGACAAUGCGGAUAUGACUCCACUGGGUCACUGUCUGCUCAUACUGAUCACACAUCUAUUGGACAAGAUUGAGGAUAAAGCGAAGCUGUAUGAUGAUGAGGCACUGCAGAACAUAUUUUUGAUGAACAAUCUGUGGUAUGUUGUGCAGAAGAUCAAGGAUUCAGAGCUAAAGAGUUUGCUUGGGGAUAACUGGAUCCGUAAGCGCCGUGGUCAGAUAAGGAGGUACUCUACAGGGUACCUCCGAUCCUCAUGGACCAGGGUAUUAGCUUGCCUGAGGGAUGAUGGGUUGCCACAGACAACAGGUUCAUCGAGUGCACUCAAGGCUGCCCUGAAGGAAAGGUUCAAGAGCUUCAACUUGGCUUACGAGGAGUUAUACAGGACACAGACAGCAUGGAAGGUUGUGGAUCCUCAGUUAAGAGAAGAGUUGAAGAUUUCCAUCUCAGAGAAGGUCCUUCCAGCAUACCGUUCGUUUGUUGGAAGGUUCCGAGGGCAGCUGGAGGGGGGAAGGAAUUUCGCAAAGUAUAUAAAGUACAACCCUGAGGAUGUGGAGAACCAGGUCUCAGAUUUCUUUGAAGGGAAAAAAUUGAAUGCUUGAUCAAACUGUCUAUGUUUGAAGGCAGUGUGCUAGGAACCUGCCCUACCAUCAUGCUUGUGGGGUUCGAAGAUGGAGAAAUCAAUUUUGACUGCUGCUGGAGCAGAAAUAUUGUGAAUGCAAGGCACCCUGGCUGGAAUACUUUGCGUGCCAUCUUUGACUCUUUUUAAGGGGAGUGCUGACAUUGGCGCUUCCACAUGGGAUUUAGGACACUGCGCGGUUAUGUUCACUUUCCCCUUGUUGCAAUUUCCGUUAUCUGCUGAUUAGUUGGUUGCUGGCAGGAAGUAUAGUAAUAUGAUGAUGAUAAAAGAAAAGUAAGUAUAGUAGCUUAUCGGAUAACUAAAAAGACCACAACCUAUGACUUUGAAUCCAGUUUCGUGAAUUCGUC
rnacentral:rRNA from 1 species